rnacentral:lncRNA from 1 species
GAAAUAUUUUAUUAAAAUUAAGUUUAAAAAAUUACUGUAUUAUUUUGCAAUCUAGCAAAGGGAAUAUGAGGCAAGAUAUACAAAUUGCUAAACAUCUGUAGAGGUUGAUUGGGUUGCAAAAUGAUUAUAAGCUAACAUAUAAGCAAGAGGGCUGGAUAUUUAACAGGAAAGCAAAUAGCCCCUAGAAGAUAUUAUGUACCUCUAUGCACCUUCAGGCACUAAAAAAAAGCUUUGACAAUCUGCUUGUAAGUAAAUAAAUAAAAAAUAAAAACCAAAACUGGUAAUAGCCUUCCAAAAUCAACUCAUAUAAAAACUGAUUUUGACUACUGAUGAUUUUACUGAAGCCUUGUAUUCUUCAUUCAAUCACCUUGGAGUACCAGCCUGAAGUUAAUCCUGGGAUUCUGAUACAGGACUGCUCUACAGCAGAAUUACCCAUAAUUGCCUCAAUUCCUGCUGACUGGUUAUUUUUGCACCAGUGACUCAAAUUAGGCACAGCUGGCCACGGCAAGUUGGAGUUUAGUAACAGCCAAUUGUCAGAAACUAGCUGAUGGUCAAUGUUGUUUUUUUUUUUGUCUCAAAUGGGUGAAAGGAACAGUGACAGUCCUCCCUCCUCUCUCCCUCCUGCCCUCAGACAAGCAGCUAUCUACUUUCUGAAGCUGAAGAAAUAAGUUGAUGCAUAAUGUUUCUCUUGACCCGUCCACCUCACUGCUCUCCUCCAUGCAUCUCCUGGAACACAAUGUCUGAAACUCCUAUUUCAAUAGAAAUUCUAUCCAUGCUGGGUAAAUAAGGAUCACUUCAUGUAUCUUGGAAGAAACAGAAGAGGCCAGCAUUUCACCCUUAUGGGACUGUCUUCAUCAAGGACAGCAAAAAGAAGAAAGCAUGCUGAUAUAUUUGCAUCAAAAAUACAUCUAACAAAUUGGAGGAAAGAAGCAGUGUAUGCUCACCAGGCGGAUCAUCUGUGUAUCUUACUCAGCCAGUUUCCUGCCGUUGGAUAUCAAUUGUCCACUAGGUAUUUUCUUUUUCUAUUCUCACUGUCAGUGUGUUUUGGAGGGUUUCUUGAAGAUUCAGAAAUUUUAAUAAUUAGGCUUGAUGUUUGUUAGAAGGGAAUCAGGUUAUAAAGAAGGGUACAUGAUAUACAGGUUGUUGACUUCCAAGAUCUAAAAGUCCCUCUGAGAACAUUUAGCUAAUAAAUGUGCGUAGUCCACACA